rnacentral:rRNA from 1 species
ACGUAGGGGGCAAGCGUUAUCCGGAAUUAUUGGGCGUAAAGAGUGCGUAGGCGGUUUUUUAAGCUAGAGGUGAAAGGCAAUAGCUUAACUAUUGUAAGGCUUGUGAACUGGAAGACUUGAGUGCAGGAGAGGAAAGUGGAAUUCCUAGUGUAGCGGUGAAAUGCGUAGAUAUUAGGAAGAACACCAGUGGCGAAGGCGGCUUACUGGACUGUAACUGACGCUCAGGCGCGAAAGCGUGGGGAGCAAACAG